UAGGGAAUCUUCCGCAAUGGGCGAAAGCCUGCCGGAGCAACGCCGCGUGAGUGAUGAAGGUCUUCGGAUCGUAAAACUCUGUUAUUAGGGAAGAACAAAUGUGUAAGUAACUAUGCACGUCUUGACGGUACCUAAUCAGAAAGCCACGGCUAACUACGUGCCAGCAGCCGCGGUAAUACGUAGGUGGCAAGCGUUAUCCGGAAUUAUUGGGCGUAAAGCGCGCGUAGGCGGUUUUUUAAGUCUGAUGUGAAAGCCCACGGCUCAACCGUGGAGGGUAAUUGGAAACUGGAAAACUUGAGUGCAGAAGAGGAAAGUGGAAUUCCAUGUGUAGCGGUGAAAUGCGCAGAGAUAUGGAGGAACACCAGUGGCGAAGGCGACUUUCUGGUCUGUAACUGAAGCUGAUGUGCGAAAGCGUGGGGAUCAAACAGG
rnacentral:rRNA from 1 species